AUUGAACGCUGGCGGCAGGCCUAACACAUGCAAGUCGAGCGAGCGGCGGACGGGUGAGUAAUGUAUGGGGACUGCCCGAUAGAGGGGGAUAACUACUGGAAACGGUGGCUACUACCGCAUACUAUCGGAUAACCCAUAUGGGAUUAGCUAGGAGGUGGGGUAAAGGCUCACCUAGGCUACGAUCUCUAGCUGGUCUGAGAGGGUGAUCAGCAACACUGGGACUGAGACACGGCCCAGACGCCAACGGAGGCAGCAGUGGGGAAUAUUGCACAAUGGGCGAAAGCCUGAUGCAGCCAUGCCGCGUGUAUGAAGAAGGCCUUAGGGUUGUAAAGUACGUUCAGCGGGGAGGCGGUACCCGCAGAAGAAGCACCGGCUAACUCCGUGCCAGCAGCCGCGGUAAUUC
rnacentral:rRNA from 1 species